UACGUAGGGUCCGAGCGUUGUCCGGAAUUACUGGGCGUAAAGAGCUCGUAGGUGGUUUGUCGCGUUGUUCGUGAAAACUCACGGCUCAACUGUGGGCGUGCGGGCGAUACGGGCAGACUGGAGUACUGCAGGGGAGACUGGAAUUCCUGGUGUAGCGGUGGAAUGCGCAGAUAUCAGGAGGAACACCGGUGGCGAAGGCGGGUCUCUGGGCAGUAACUGACGCUGAGGAGCGAAAGCGUGGGGAGCGAACAGG
rnacentral:rRNA from 1 species